UUACAAACAAUCGUCGAUGUGUUCUGCUUCUUGGUAGCUUAUUUCUAUACUUUCUUACAAUGUGGAAUUUGACUUUUUGCAUUCUGCUGUUUUCUCUUGCUUUGUUGUGUUCAACGUCGGAAAACGAAGAUUAUUGUUCGCAAUAUUGUGGAAAUCGCACUAUAUACACCAUUAUUAAACUCUCCAAGAGAACUUCAAGAAUUCCAUGUCAUUGCCGUCACGAGAUUUUUGCCAGUCGCAAUUCUGAAAGAAGAAAUUCGAAUUAUAGAGAUCAAUAUCCUUACAACUUGCUGCGUGAUUAUGAAUACCAAUAUGAAGAUCUGAAACGAUAAGGAAUUUGCUCUUAAAUAUAAGGUAUUGAAAACUGGUUAUACGAUGAUGGAAUCCAAAGCUUAAUUAAAGAGUUUCAUCUAACUCAUAUCACAUUUUAUGAAAUUAGUCUCACACUUUUGAUUAAAAUGUUUUGAAUAAAGGAAAAUAGAUCAUGGAAGCCUAUUUGAAAACAAACUAAAAGCUAUUAAUAGAGAUUCUCAUGUAGUACUUUAAAUUUCACUAUUUAUAUUCAGAUAAUCGAAGGCAAGAAAUUGUCUCUGCAAUGAAUACGCAAUACUACCAUUUUUACUGUGGUUGCUUAAUAGAAAAUAAUUCAGAAGUAUUGUUCGAUUUAAUUUACAUAUUUAAUUUUAUGUGGUAAAUUUUAACCCUUGUGAAUGCAACAUUUACAGAUACAUUAAAUUAAAAAGUUGUAGCCUAAUAAUAAAUAUAUUCAAAUUUAUCAACAAGAACAUAAUUAAUUCAAAUUCUUUUUCAAUGCAUUAGAUACAUUUUGCGUCUAGAUGAUUGCUUUUAUUCUCACAGACUGUACAUGUUCUAUUGAAAGAAAAAAUGCUUUUGUAAAUAAACACAAUAUGAUUUCAAAACUGUCGAAUAAAGAAAAAGUAUCAA